rnacentral:rRNA from 1 species
GACGAACGCUGGCGGCGUGCUUAACACAUGCAAGUCGAACGGGUCUGCCCUGUUUUUUGCGGGGUGGGUCAGUGGCGAACGGGUGAGUAACACGUGAGUAACCUGCCCCUCACUUCUGGAUAACCGCUUGAAAGGGUGGCUAAUACGGGGUGUUCUGGCUGUGCCGCAUGGUGUGGCUGGGAAAGAUUGACUUUUGUGGUGUUUUGGUGGGGGAUGGGCUCGCGGCCUAUCAGCUUGUUGGUGGGGUGAUGGCCUGCGAGGGCUUUGACGGGUAGCCGGCCUGGGAGGGUGGGCGGUCACACUGGGAGUGCGGUACGGCCGAGACUGAGGCGCGGGGCAGAAGUCGGCGGUAGGGAACAGUGGGCAGAAGUGUGAUGCAGCGGCGACGCGGAAGCGGCAACGCCCUUCGGGUUAUGAACGUCUUUCGCCGGUGAAGAAGGUCCUGCUCUUUGUGGUGGGGUUUGCGGUAGCCGGGUUAUGAAGCGCCGGCUAACUACGUG